CGAGAGAGAGAGAAAAAAGAGAGGCCAUGUUUGAGCUAGUUCACUUAUCUGUGGUUCCUUUCCUCCCUUCCCUCUCUCUCUCUCUCUAAUUAGAGCGAAAAUGGAGUAAGCGGAGGAGCUCAAGGAUGAAGCCAACGACUAUUUGAAAAAAUUAAGAAAAUUGAAGCCUUUCUCUCAGACAUGAACAAAGAAGAGCAAUUCUUGACAAACAAACAAACAAACAAACAAACAAGGACAGCGUUGAGUCUCGCAGGUCACGCCAGCCUCUCGGAAACUGUUGCUUGCUUCACCCGGCAAUUGUGAACCAGGGAUCACCAUCAGCCCUCCCAUUGGCCCAGAGCUUCGUGGAUUGUGAUUGGACGGCUGGCUGGCUGACCUGACUUGACCUGACCUCAACUGAGCCAACAUGAUUUACAUUUUCCUCGUUGACACUGGCACCAUGAUGACCUUUGACAUGAACCUGGCACUUAGAGAGUGUUGAGGUGGUGAAGGGUGCAAUACACAGUGUUGUCAAGGUGCCCCCAGACAAGCAGGUGCUGCUGGCCUCUGGGGGUGAAACACUGGACUCCUGCAAGUGGGUGUGUCAUUACUCGGCCGGCACAGACUCGUCCCCCAUCUUUCUGUUCUCCAAGGUGGCCAUUGAGGGAGCAGCCCCCCAACCCCCUCUGUGCAGCCUGGCGGGGACGGCGACCUCAGGGCACAGGUGGAGGGAUGCCUCAACAUGCCAGCCACCUACAACAGUGUGGUGGCGCGGACACAGUUAGCACAGCAGUUUUACGAGCACGCCAGUGAGGUCACCAGAACGUGCCACCAGCUUGUUCACAACCAGCAUCUGCAGCAACAAGGCUGGGCAGUAGUGUUGGGCAACUUGGAAGACGUUGUGGCAGCCUUCAGAGCAAGACAUGAUGCAUUCCAGCAAAACUUUGUAAUCUCAGUGGCCGGGAGGAGAAGGUCGCCCUGCUUCACUUCUAAGUGUGUGUGUGUGUGUGUGUGUCAAGGUUGGAGGAGAGGUGGAGGGAACAUGGAGGAAGGUCUGCGAGGGAAGAGAAGCCUGCAGUUUUGAAGAGGACCUGAAGCUACUGGCAAGGAUUCCAGUCUUCCCUGAACUCUUGGGGAAGACACAAGAGGAAGAGGAAGAGGAGGAAGCUGGGAAGAAGAGGAGGACAAGCACAGCACAGAAGAAAGAGGAGGAGGAAGAGAAGUAAAAGGAGGAGGAGGAGGAGGAAGAAGAGGAAGAGCAUGAGAAGGAGAAGAGGGCAGGAGGAGAAGGAGAAAAAAGAGAAAUGAGUUAAGUGUCACUGCUGGACUGGAUCAGCGCCAAGGACAGCCAAAGUGAUGUCAGACAUUGCCCAACUCUGCUGCAGAGGACUGGCCCAGCUGUGUGUGUGUGUGUGUGUGUGUGUGUGUGUGCACCAGGGUGUCAGGUAUUCACACCCAAUUCUUGCUGCAUAAUUGUGUUUCUGCAGGAUUGAAUCAAGUUUGUAAUCUUGCAUUGUUUAACAAGUUGAGUUCUCAAAUUUUUUUUUAAUCUGGCUCCCCCUCCCCCUGUGUUAGAAUAUUGCAUGUUUCCAAGGCCACAGGGAGGCUUAGACGGGUUCUCAAGUGUUUCCUGUCACUAAUGCAGAAAUGUUGUUAAUCUGUCACUGCAACUGUAAAAACACCCCUGAAAACCUGCGUCACUUCAACUAAAACCUUAUAAAACAAUGUUUCUCCUGUCAGCACUGCAGAAAUGUUGUUAAUCUGUCACUGCAACUGUAAAAACACCCCUGAAAACCUGCGUCACUUCAACUUAAACCUUAUAAAACAAUGUUUUUCCUGCCAGCACUGCAGAAAUGUUGUUAAUCUGUCACUGCAACUGUAAAAACACCCUUGAAAAUCCGCGUCACUUCAACUAAAGCCUUUUAAAAGAAUGUUUUUCCUGUCAGCACUGCAGAAAUGUUGUUAAUCUGUCACUGCAACUGUAAAAACACCCUUGAAAAUCCGCGUCACUUCAACUAAAGCCUUUUAAAAGAAUGUUUUUCCUGUCAGCACUGCAGAAAUGUUGUUAAUCUGUCACUGCAACUGUAAAAACACCCUUGAAAACCCGCGUCACUUCAACUAAAGCCUUUUAAAAGAAUGUUUCUCCUGUCAGUACUGCAGAAAUGUUGUUAAUCUGUCACUGCAACUGUAAAAACACCCUUGAAAACCUGCAUCACUUCAACUACAGCCUUUUAAAAGUAUUUCUCCUGUCAGUAAUGCAAAAAUGUUAAUAUAUCACUGCAACUGUAAAAACACUCUUGAAAACCCACGUCACUUUAACUAGAGCCUUUUAAAACAAUGUUUCUCCUGUCAGUAAUGCAGAAAUGUUGUUAAUCUGUCACUGCAACUGUAAAAACACCCUUGAAAACCUGCAUUAUUUCAGCUACAGCCUUUUAAGAGUGUUUCUCCUGUGAGUAAUGCAGAAAUGUUGAUCUGUCACUGUAACCGUAAAAACACCCUUGAAAACCCACAUCACUUCAACUCCAGCCUUUUAAAAGAAUGUUUCCCCUGUCAGUAAUGCAGAAAUGUUGUUAAUCUGUCACUACAACUGUAAAAACACCCUUGAAAACCCACUUGACUUGAACUAAACACACACACAAACACACAGCACUAGUACUGCUGUUGCCACACAGAUCAGUGAGGGGCUGCUGGAACAAGUGGGGCAAGAGGUCAGUGCUGUGCUUCAAGAGGCAGACCAGCCACAGAUGAAUGCUUGACUCACCGUACUCAUCAUCAACCUGUGUCCUGUACUUUGUGUAUAAUAUCUUUGAGUCUUGAAUCUAAUACACUCCUCACUGUUCACUUGUACAUGUUGAGCCUCACUACAUUCACGCAGGUCGGAACAAAAUUAAGUUUGUCCAUUUUGUGUGUCCAUUCUUUAUUGCGGCCAUUGUACAAGAUGCAGCGUUUGUGUGUGUGUGUGUGUGUGUGUGUGUGUGUGUGUGUGUGUGUGUGUGUGUGUGUGUGUGUGUGUGUGUGUGUGUGUGUGUGUGAGGGGCUCACUUAUUGGUGAGGGGCUGUGGGGAGUCACUGUGGGUUUGUAAACAUACUGUGGGGGGACAUACUGUGGCGCUGUGGCCUGAGGUGAGGUGAGAGAGAGAGAGAGAGAGAGAGAGAGAGAGAGAGGGGGGGGGGGGGGGCAGCAUGAGUGAAAGAAAGCAGAUGUUGUUGAUUGUUGAUGAUGCAGGGGAGAGGUGUUGUUGUUAUUCAGUGUUCUUCAUUGCACGAGAUGUUGUUGUUGUUGUUGUUGUUGUUGUUGUUGUUAUUGACUGGCAACCAAGCCUGGCUGGCGUGUGGGCCUUGUCAUGUGGCCCACAGGUAAUUCUUAGUGGUCAGUCUAUCGGUGAGUACAGCUGAGCGCUGCCUGAUUGCACGAGAGGUAUUGUUCAUAGUUGUUCAUUGUAGGUGAGGGAAGACACAGUAUGUUGAGGGAAGGCAGCAGCUGUGGAGGAGUGAACAGCUGCACCACUGACAGCAGCAGCAGCAGCAGCAGCAGCAGCAGCACUGCUGAAUACUUCUACUGCCACUACUAACUACUGCUGAUGUUUUUCUCCUCCUCCCAGCACAGCAGCAGACUCGGGUACUGUUACAGCUCUGCUCCCUCCUACAGGACACGUUCCCAUCACCUUCACGUCCUGGACACGUGCACAAACUUGUGCCUGGGCAGUCUCACUGCAGCAACUGCCAGUGCUGUGGCUGGGUGGCAGGAGGGAGGGACAAGCUGGCCACCCUCUCUGUCACCACCUGCUGGGGAAAGACCACCAUUAUCAUCAUCAUCUUGGUUUUCCUUUUUUGUUUUCUUUCACAAUUUACAAGGAAUAUUAACAGUUUGUUUUGUUAGUGUUGUCUGUUUGUUAUUAAAUGAUGUGUUGAUUGUGUUGUUGUUGUUGUUGUUUAUGUGUUAGUUGUUGUUGUGUUUUGUAUGUGUGACUGAUGAAUAAAAUAAAGGCAGUCGUGUCACACU